rnacentral:rRNA from 1 species
ACUCAAAUGAAUUGACGGGUGCCCGCACAAGCGGUGGAGUAUGUUGUUUAAUUCGAAGCAACACGAAGAACCUUACCAAGCCUUGACAUACUGGACGAAGCUAUAGAAAUAUAGUGGAGGUUGAAGGAUACAGGUGGUGCAUGGUUGUCGUCAGCUCGUGUCGUGAGAUGUUGGGUUAAGUCCCGCAACGAGCGCAACCCCUGUCUUCUGUUACCAUCAUUUAGUUGGGGACUCAGGAGAGACUGCCGGUGAUGAACCGGAGGAAGGUGGGGAUGACGUCAAAUCAUCAUGCCCUUUAUGGCUUGGGCUACAAACGUACUACAAUGGCGUAUACAAAGAGCAGCUAGCAGGUGACUGUAAGCGAAUCUCGUAAAGUACGUCUCAGUUCGGAUUGAAGUCUGCAACUCGACUUCAUGAAGUUGGAAUCGCUAGUAAUCGCGAAUCAGCAGGUCGCGGUGAAUACGUUCUCGGGCAUUGCACACACCGCCCGU